UACGAAGGGUGCAAACGUUGCUCGGAAUCAUUGGGCGUAAAGCGCGCGUAGGCGGCCCUGUAAGUCCGUUGUGAAAGUCAAAGGCUCAACCUUUGAAAGCCGAUGGAUACUGCAGGGCUAGAGUCCGGAAGAGGCGAGUGGAAUUCCUGGUGUAGCGGUGAAAUGCGCAGAUAUCAGGAGGAACACCGAUGGCGAAGGCAGCUCGCUGGGACGGUACUGACGCUGAGGCGCGAAAGCGUGGGGAGCAAACAGG
rnacentral:rRNA from 1 species